UACGUAGGGUGCAGGCGUUAAUCGGAAUUACUGGGCGUAAAGGGUGCGCAGGCGGUUGAGUGUGUCAGAUGUGAAAUCCCGAGGCUCAACCUCGGAACUGCGUCUGAAACUACUCGACUAGAGUACUGGAGAGGGUAACGGAAUUCACGGUGUAGCAGUGAAAUGCGUAGAUAUCGUGAGGAACACCAGAGGCGAAGGCGGUUACCUGGACAGUUACUGACGCUCAGGCACGAAAGCAUAGGGAGCAAAAGGG
rnacentral:rRNA from 1 species